UGGGGAAUUUUGGACAAUGGGCGAAAGCCUGAUCCAGCAAUGCCGCGUGUGUGAAGAAGGCCUUCGGGUUGUAAAGCACUUUUGUCCGGAAAGAAAUCCUCUGGGUUAAUACCUCGGGGGGAUGACGGUACCGGAAGAAUAAGCACCGGCUAACUACGUGCCAGCAGCCGCGGUAAUACGUAGGGUGCAAGCGUUAAUCGGAAUUACUGGGCGUAAAGCGUGCGCAGGCGGUUUGCUAAGACCGAUGUGAAAUCCCCGGGCUCAACCUGGGAACUGCAUUGGUGACUGGCAGGCUAGAGUAUGGCAGAGGGGGGUAGAAUUCCACGUGUAGCAGUGAAAGUGCGUAGAGAUGUGGAGGAAUACCGAUGGCGAAGGCAGCCCCCUGGGCCAAAUACUGACGCUCAUGCACGAAAGCGUGGGGAGCAAACAGGAUUAGAUACCCUGGUAGUCCAGCGCCCUAAACGAUGUCAACUAGUUGUUGGGGAUUCAUUUCCUUAGUAACGUAGCUAACGCGUGAAGUUGACCGCCUGGGGAGUACGGUCGCAAGAUUAAAACUUAAAUGAAUUGACGGGGUCAUAGCUGUUUCC
rnacentral:rRNA from 1 species